AGCUGAGAUCGCACCACUGCACUGCUGCCUGGGCAACAAGAGUGAAGCAUCUCAAGAAAAAAAAAAAAAAAGGAAUAAAAGAACAUGGUGGCUGAGAGGGUCUGGAUCUGUCCAGAGGGAAGACAAAGGCAGCAGAUGGGAGAGAAAAGGACACUUUACUCAAAGAAGCGCCACUUCCUGAUAACUACAAGACAGGGAGCUUCGGAGAAAAGAGAAGUCACCAAGGGCCUGUGGUAGGUAUGUGGCCAGCCUGCUUUGAACCGGCCCUGCCUGGACUCACCCUGAGCCACACUGUCCCCUCCCGGCAUAGUCCAUCAGUGGGAGUGUUCAUACUUGCUCCUUCCCAGGGAGGAAGCACCAAGGGACUGGAGCCCUCCCCUCUGCUGACUUUCCAGUUCCCUCUGGGGAGGAUCAGAGCCAAUUCACCAAGUGUUCCCCCAGCCCCUCCCUCUUGCCUCCUGUCCUCACCAGCUCAAAAGGUCCCUCGGGAGCAGCAUUGCAUCCUCCCACCUCCUCAGCCCUCAGGGACCUCAGCCUACUAACUUAUCCCUCCUUCUCCUGGGCCUGAGCGAGCUGAGCUCUCUUCUGGCCUUCCUAUCAGCUCAUAAAUGCAGCCAACUCUCCCUCGUCAGAAAGCACACUAAGUAAAAUAAAAAAAUU